AUACUUUGUGUUUGCAUAUGAAAAUCUACAAAAUACUCGAUGCAAUUUUUUGUUUCCAAGUGCCCUCUGUAACUUGAAGAAUGAAAUAUAUUCCAAUCAAUCUUUUUAUUGUAAUAAUUAAAAAUACAUAUGAAUGUUCGUUGGACCUAUUGUGUUGGCUGCAUCUGACAUUUGGAAUAUCAUAACCUCUUUUUCAUCUUCAUCUUUCUUCCCUCAGCCUUCUCAUCUUCUCCCCAAUCGUUUCUUUUUUGUAAUUCUGCGUUCUAUUUGGGUAUUUUGCAGCAGUGGAGCGACCACAGUUCAACGACUAUGGUAAUGAUUCUUGAUUCAAAUAGGUGAAGUUGGUUUGUUUCGGCUUCUACUUCAUUUCCUCAUUUAUUAUUGUACCACAGAUAAUACCGUGGAAUAAAAAGAAUAGUAAGCUUAAGAUUGGCAGGUGUUUGUGGAUUGAUAUUUAUAGUUUGACUUUGAUACGCCAUGUAAAAACAGAAAAUUGGUUUUACUCUUAGGGCGCGUUUUAUACUAUGGAUAUAUGUAGAUAAGGACAAGUAAUCCACAGAAAUCACAUGAACCGGGAUUCAAUCUACUUGACCCGAAUUUUUUCACUGUUACAAUAGGAAAAAAGUUGGAUUCCAGUCCACCAAAAUUUCAUGGAUUAAAAUCUGCUCUCGGGUUCCACACCUGGAUUACACCCAAAACUUGCCACCAUACCCCUCGGCCCCUUUUCAGAUUCUUCAUUCUCGAUUAGGAAAAACAUAAAUUGUGAGUUCAUCGCCGAGGUUACUGGUGGUGACGACGGAGAAUCACUUGUGCUCACUUUUGGUGGAGGCAUCGAUUAAUUCGGGGAAUCGUUCUCGCAGGAAUGUGAGGACCGUCAGAGCUUAUUUUGAGAGGCUAAGCAGGAUCCCAGCGCAAGUAAGGCACUUCAAUCGGCUCGUUGGUGUCUCCGACGUUGCUUGCAUAGAUAACCUGCGUAUGGACCGCAACACCUUCGAGAGAUUAUGCAUUCUUCUUCGUGGGACCAGGGAUUUGGUGGAUGGGAACUUUGUGAGUGUGGAGGAACAAGUAGCCAUGUUUUUGGGCAUCCUAGCACAUCACAAAAAAAUAUGAAUAGUGCGGUUUGAUUUUAUGAGGUCUGGAUACACCGUAUCCCGUUAUGUGAACGCUGUGUUGGGUGCGGUUCCUAAGUUGUAUGACACCCUGCUCGUGACACCCGAACUUGUGACUGAAGAGUGUGAUGAUAGUAGGUGGAAAUGGUUCAAGGUUCUCACCUUCUCAUGUACAAAUUCCAUUGGUGACAAGACACUCAGUUUUCAUUGCAAAUAUGUCUUAAUAAAAAUUAAUAAAAUGAUUUUCAUCA